rnacentral:rRNA from 1 species
UACGUAGGGCGCAAGCGUUAUCCGGAAUUAUUGGGCGUAAAGAGCUUGUAGGCGGUUUGUCGCGUCUGCCGUGAAAUUUCGGGGCUCAACCCCGGACUUGCAGUGGGUACGGGCAGACUAGAGUGUGGUAGGGGAGACUGGAAUUCCUGGUGUAGCGGUGGAAUGCGCAGAUAUCAGGAGGAACACCGAUGGCGAAGGCAGGUCUCUGGGCCAUUACUGACGCUGAGAAGCGAAAGCAUGGGGAGCGAACAGG